rnacentral:rRNA from 1 species
CAGCCGCCGCGGGAAUACAGAGGGUGCGAGCGUUAAUCGGAUUUACUGGGCGUAAAGGGCGCGUAGGUGGUUAUGUAAGUGAGAUGUGAAAUCCCCGGGCUCAACCUGGGAACUGCAUCUUAUACUGCGUAGCUGGAGUGCAGUAGAGGGUAGUGGAAUUUCCGGUGUAGCGGUGAAAUGCGUAGAUAUCGGAAGGAACACCAGUGGCGAAGGCGGCUACCUGGACUGACACUGACACUGAGGCGCGAAAGCGUGGGGAGCAAACAGGAUUAGAUACCCGUGUAGUCCCUGUCUCUUAUAC